rnacentral:rRNA from 1 species
UACGUAGGUGGCAAGCGUUGUCCGGAUUUAUUGGGUUUAAAGGGUGCGUAGGCGGCUUUGUAAGUCAGUGGUGAAAUACUCUAGCUUAACUAGAGGGGUGCCAUUGAUACUGCAGAGCUUGAGUACAGAUGAGGUAGGCGGAAUUGACGGUGUAGCGGUGAAAUGCAUAGAUAUCGUCAAGAACACCGAUAGCGAAGGCAGCUUACUGGGCUGUAACUGACGCUGAUGCACGAAAGUGUGGGGAGCAAACAGG